GAUGAACGCUGGCGGCGUGCCUAAUACAUGCAAGUCGAGCGAACAGACGAGGAGCUUGCUCCUCUGACGUUAGCGGCGGACGGGUGAGUAACACGUGGAUAACCUACCUAUAAGACUGGGAUAACUUCGGGAAACCGGAGCUAAUACCGGAUAAUAUAUUGAACCGCAUGGUUCAAUAGUGAAAGACGGUUUUGCUGUCACUUAUAGAUGGAUCCGCGCCGCAUUAGCUAGUUGGUAAGGUAACGGCUUACCAAGGCAACGAUGCGUAGCCGACCUGAGAGGGGGAUCAGCCACACUGGAACUGAGACACGGUCCAGACUCCUACGGGAGGCAGCAGUAGGGAAUCUUCCGCAAUGGGCGAAAGCCUGACGGAGCAACGCCGCGUGAGUGAUGAAGGUCUUCGGAUCGUAAAACUCUGUUAUUAGGGAAGAACAAAUGUGUAAGUAACUAUGCACGUCUUGACGGUACCUAAUCAGAAAGCCACGGCUAACUACGUG
rnacentral:rRNA from 1 species